CCAAGUUUUGUACCAUUCUGGUGAAGCUACGAUUUUUACAAAUUCAAAAUGUAAAAUUCUCCAGUCAGAAGUGACCGAAGACCGCACAAGGGUAAAGGCUGUCUCUAAUUAUGAAG